rnacentral:rRNA from 1 species
UCGCCUGUUUAUCAAAAACAUGUCUGUAUGAAGAUGUAUAGAGUCUAGCCUGCCCACUGAUGUAUAAUUAAAGGGCCGCGGUAUUCCUGACCGUGCGAAGGUAGCAUAAUCAUUAGUCUUUUAAUUGAAGGCUCGUAUGAAUGGUUGGACGAAAAAUAAUCUGUCUCUUAGUUGAAAUUUGAAUUUAACAUUUAAGUGAAAAGGCUUAAAUACAGUAAAAAGACGAUAAGACCCUAUAAAUCUUUACACCACUUAGAAGUUUAAAGCUAGUUAUAAGUAAAAUGUUAUUAAAUUUCUUAUGGUGUUUUGUUGGGGCAACAUGGAUAAAAAUUUAUCUGUCUAAAAAAAUUACAAAAGAUCUUUGAAUAAAAAAACAAGAUCCUUUCUAGAGAUUAUAAGAUUAAGUUACUUUAGGGAUAACAGCGUUAUUUUACUUGAGAGUUCAUAUCGAAAGUAAAGCUUGCGACCUCGAUGUUGAAUUAAAAUUUCUCUGUGGUGCAGCAGCUACAAGAGAGAGUCUGUUCGACUUUUAAAAUUUUACAUGAUUUGAGUUCAGACCGGCGUGAGCCAGGUUGGUUUCUAUCUA